CUUGGGUUUGCUGUGCGUCCGAUUGUGCAUUUGACCUAUUUUACACUAACUAAAUCUUGUGCGAAAACAUUUCCCUAGUGAUUUUAGUUGAUGCAUAGAGCACGCUUCAGCACAAGUUUUCUCUAAAGUUGGUGGAAGCGCAAGAAAAUUUAGCAGAACUUGUGAAACAUUAAAUUGGCGGUGCAAGUUGGUCAAUUGGCUUAAAAUUUCAAUAGACGGAUCCUGUUAAAUAAAUUAUAAUUUUCGCAAGUGAGAAAAGUAACGGAUUAUCUAGCAGACGACAAGUGGC